UUUGACUGGUUAAGCGCUGCGCCAGCAAGUGUCUGGACCGUGCAGACCGAUCAGGCUGCCCACGUACGUCUACGCUAAAGUUCCUUCAUCAGCUUGAGUUUAUGCCUCCAGCCAUUUGCCGAAAUGACCAGCUUGCCUGUUUUUAGCGGAGUACCGGACACGUUCGGCGCUACGAUAGAAUGCUCGCAACGCACGCUGCUUCGAUAGCUCUCGGUCAACGGCCAAUAUACUGGCUAGUGUGCCGUCCGCGGCCUCUCGGUGGCACCAAAUGCAAUGAAUGCCGGCGGCUGCCACGAGGGGCGCUGCAGUGCAGCCGUGCUCACAGGUAUCAUCUCAAGCAAUCGCAACUACCAAAGAAAUAGAAAAAUGUGUAAUGCUGUGGUUUCGUCAAGCGUCAGAGCGAGCAGCUGCAUUGGAGAAGAAAGGAGUGGCUGCUGUUUACUCAGCUACAAUUGUGUCGUUUCCUACAGUUUUGGUUACGUCCAGCUUUUGAUAAGACCAUCAGGUGGUGCUUGCUUGUCCUGGCAUCGCUACUUAAAGGCCGUCUUCAUCUACCGUCGACCGUUCUUGGCAGCAUUGGCUGUGCUUGUGCAUUAGCUCACGCAUUCCUUUUUGUUUGUACAGGGGCCUGAUGUCUGACUGUUUACAAAAUUCAUUCACUUAGGCAGCCCGAUGACAAGUUGCAAUAAAGCUGUGCAAGUUUUAUAAGGUUGCUCCACUUAUUUGCAUGCAAAGGACACCAUGUGCCUAGAACAAGCAUGACAAAUAAUAUCUAUUUUACAUCCUGAGCCUGGGAUGUAACCUCCAUCCCGCAUCCAGAUAACGCCCGAAAAAAGACCCGGCUGGUGCCUCCAUGGAACAUCUUUCGGUGUUUCACCUGGGAGGUUUUCUUGAUUAGCGUAAGACAUUUUAGGAACAUCCCUAGGAUCUCUUCAACAUCCUUACAGAGACAUCCAUCAUACAUCCUUAGGAUGCCUGUGUGUUGUCUUGGUAUUUAGCUAUGCUCACAAUAUUCAACAAACCUUGCACCGCAUUCAGUAAACUCUCCACACCCUCAAAAGAUUCAAAGUAAAAAUAGUUUGUACAAUACAAUCUUCACAAAAAUAUGGUAGCUGGUGCAAACAUUAGGCCAGAAAAACACAGGGUAAACCUUCACAUAAGUGCUGGCUUGCAAGGCAUGCAAGUUUCAGCUGCAUUGCUGUCCAUGUACCAGUGCCUUUCUAAUGUGCAGCUAGCUCCACAGCCAUUAUCUAAAACGAAAUUCAAAAUGCUGCUGAAAGCUUUUGUUUAACCAUCUGGUCAUUGCUACCAAAAAAAAGUGCCAUUUAAUGUGACAGACAUCAUGUGAGUGAUGCUAAUGGGUAGGCCUCCCUGCUCCACUGGAGACAGCUGUGAACAAGGCAGUAUGCAAACAUAAUUCUGGGACCCACUGUGCUUUUAUGGGAUAUUGUGCAACAUUUGGUCUGAAACCUGGCCAACAUGCUCUUCAUUGAGCAGCAGAAAAGGAUGUCUCGGGGAAAAAUGUGAAAUUACAGUGAAGCUCUGUACGUGAAAGAGGUAUGCAUGUAAAUAUUUUGUACUAUGAUUAUAUAGGUAUAUUAAGAAGAGAACGCUGUGAAGAGAAUGGUUGAUGCGACUGCCUCGCUAAUUGGGAAAUUGUGAGAGGCAGCGCCCGAGUGAUGUGUGAGAGCGAUUCACAGCAGCCACUGCAGACAUGCCUUCGCUCAUGCAACGCUUUGUUUCCAUAUAUGGCAUCGGUGAACACACUCGUUGCAUGCCUUAUCGAUGGUGUUAUUGAUGAGCAGACGACAGCACCCUACUCUGGCACCAUCUUGCAGUAGUUGCCACCGCGGAGCCUGUCUUGCU